rnacentral:rRNA from 1 species
AAAUUUUAAAAUUAUAAUACUAAAAUAGUAAAUAAUUAUUUAUUAAAACUUAAAUAAUUUGGCGGUAUUUUAGUUCAUUUAGAGGAAUCUGUUUAAUAAUUGAUAUUCCACGAAUAAAUUUACUUAAUUUUUAAUUUUGUAUAUCGUUGUUAUAAAAAUAUUUUUUAAUAAAAUUAAUAUUUAAAAAUUAUUAUAAAAUUUAAAUCAGAUCAAGAUGCAGAUUAUAGUUAAGAAUAUAAUGGAUUACAAUAAAAUUAUUUAAAUGAAUAUUAGUUUGUAAGAUUUAAUUGAAAGUGGAUUUAAAUGUAAUUUUAUUUAAUUUAAUAAAAUGAUUAAAAAUUAAAAUAUGU